rnacentral:rRNA from 1 species
UGCAGAGGUCUCAAGCGUUGUUCGGAUUCAUUGGGCGUAAAGGGUGCGUAGGCGGCGCGGUAAGUCGGGUGUGAAAUCUUGGAGCUUAACUCCGAAACUGCAUUCGAUACUGCCGUGCUUGAGGACUGGAGGGGAGACUGGAAUUUACGGUGUAGCGGUGAAAUGCGUAGAUAUCGUAAGGAAGACCAGUGGCGAAGGCGGGUCUCUGGACAGUUCCUGACGCUGAGGCACGAAGGCCAGGGGAGCAAACGGG